rnacentral:ncRNA from 1 species
UUCCACUGGGGGAGCGUUAUUGCUGAGAGAUCUCCGGAUCGACCCUUGGAACCUGUUGGGUAAUGCCUGCGUAGGGAAGUGGCUUUGUU